UGUCGUGCUGCCAGAUAAUGUGAUGCUGCCAGACGCUUUGGUGUAGCCCGGCAGCCUCGUCGGGCACAAGAGUGCUCGCCGCCGGCAUGGUCGCCUCAUCGACCGGAACCGCGUUGGCUUGCAUCCAGGCCAGGAGGCGCGUCGGUGGCGGAUCGCGAGACGGCACAGCGGCUCCGCCUCGGUGCCGCGCGGCAGCGCCGUCACGCGCCUCGAUGGGGUGGCACCACGCCGUAUCUGUGUAUUUUUGACGGGCCGCGCACAGUCGGUCGAGCGCUUUGGCGCACGCCGGCAAAACGUCCAAAGCGCCCACGGCGACUGCACGCGCCACGACGGCGAGAAUAAAGGCGGCGGGCGUUUUGACGUCGCGCCAGAGCGCGUCGAUAAGGGCGUCGACGACGUGCGGCUCGACGGCGGUCUGGUCAUUGUCGGGCCAACACGCAAGCACGGCCCUUUCGAUCAGGUCGAGCGCCGACUCGAUCCACGGCAACCAUAGCGCCCGGAUCGCGAGGCCCUCGGAUGGAGGUCCUGCCUGGUCGAUGUGAUCAACUGCCAGAGGCACGCAGCCGACCCCACAUACUUUACGCCGCCUAUCGGCAAACCAGACCAGUGCCGCGUGAAGCAACGACCGACUGCACGCGGCGAGCAUCAGCACGUCGCGAUCGUCGAGACAAGGUAGGAUCGCCGUCGUAAAGAGCAUCGGUUCGUGGUCCAACAAGUUGUCGAGGAGAUCGCCUGUUGGUGCCAAAUGAUCGCGUGCGGUCGCCACUGCCGCAGGGCCUGAUACAUCCGCGCGACGUGUGUCGAGGGCGCUGAGCAGCACCGAACCUGUAUGGACACCUUUUGUCGCCGUCGCCAGCACGCGCAAGAGAGGGCCCACGACCGCGCUCCGGAUGCCGGUGCAUCCAAUCGCGGCCUGUUCGGUAGCAACCUGGACGAUACGCACGAGCGCUGUGAUGGCAGCGUCGGUGCGUGCGCUCGACUCGCUUCCGGGGCAUGCGUUGGGUGGCGCCGCGGCCUGCCGUACGAUCCAAGCGCUCAGACGGUUGCAUAUGGUGUCGAUGCGGGAAAAGACCUCUGGCGUUGUCCGGUUCUCGUUAUUGUCGCUGGCGCCGUUGCGCACGGCAUCAAUAAAAUCGCGGGCUGCCUCGGUCAGCACAGACGCC
rnacentral:lncRNA from 1 species